rnacentral:rRNA from 1 species
UCAACAUGAGAGUUUGAUUCUGGCUCAGAACGAACGCUGGCGGCAGGCUUAACACAUGCAAGUCGAACGAGAAGCUUACUUCGGUAAGUGGAAAGUGGCAGACGGGUGAGUAACGCGUGGCAACCUACCUUUUUCUACGGAACAACAGUUGGAAACGACUGCUAAUACCGUAUACGCCCUCCGGGGGAAAGAUUUAUCGGUGAAAGAUGGGGCCGCGUUAGAUUAGCUAGUUGGUGAGGUAAUGGCUCACCAAGGCGACGAUCUAUAGCUGGUCUGAGAGGAUGAUCAGCCACACUGGGACUGAGACACGGCCCAGACAACUACGGUUGGCAGCAGUGGGGAAUAUUGGACAAUGGGGGCAACCCUGAUCCAGCCAUGCCGCGUGAAUGAUGAAGGCCUUAGGGUUGUAAAACUCUUUCGCCAGGGAUGAUAAUGACAGUAGCAUCAGAAGAAGCCCCGGCUAAAUUCGUGCCAGCAGCCGCGGUAAUACGGAGGGGGCUAGCGUUGUUCGGAAUUACUGGGCGUAAAGCGUGCGUAGGCGGAUUAUUAAGUUAGGGGUGAAAUCCCGGGGCUCAACCUCGGAACUGCCUCUAAAACUGGUAAUCUAGAGAUAUGGAGAGGUAAG